AUCUAGUUGACGAGUCCUAAAUAGGACGAAACGCGCGUCCUGGAU
rfam:Schistosoma mansoni strain Puerto Rico chromosome 6, complete genome